CCUACGGGAGGCAGCAGUGGGGAAUAUUGGACAAUGGGCGAAAGCCUGAUCCAGCAAUGCCGCGUGAGUGAUGAAGGCCUUAGGGUUGUAAAGCUCUUUUACCCGGGAUGAUAAUGACAGUACCGGGAGAAUAAGCCCCGGCUAACUCCGUGCCAGCAGCCGCGGUAAUACGGAGGGGGCUAGCGUUGUUCGGAAUUACUGGGCGUAAAGCGCACGUAGGCGGUUAUUCAAGUCAGAGGUGAAAGCCUGGAGCUCAACUCCAGAACUGCCUUUGAAACUAGAUAACUAGAAUCAUGGAGAGGUGAGUGGAAUUCCGAGUGUAGAGGUGAAAUUCGUAGAUAUUCGGAAGAACACCAGUGGCGAAGGCGGCUCACUGGACAUGUAUUGACGCUGAGGUGCGAAAGCGUGGGGAGCAAACAAGAUUAGAUACCCUGGUAGUCCACGCCGUAAACGAUGAUAACUAGUUGUUGGGGCUCUUAAGGAGCUUCUAGUAGACGCGAGCUAACGACAUUAAGUUAUCCGUCCGUCGGGUAGGUACGGUCGCGAAGAAUUAAACUAACAAAGAAGUUAGACGGCGUGAGACGUGCCGAACGGACGACGACGAGGGAGGUAGG
rnacentral:rRNA from 1 species